rnacentral:rRNA from 1 species
UACAGAGGUCUCGAGCGUUGUUCGGAUUCAUUGGGCGUAAAGGGUGCGUAGGUGGCUAGGUAAGUCGGAUGUGAAAUCCCGGGGCUCAACCCCGGAACUGCCUUUGAUACUGAAGAUCUUGAGUUCGGGAGAGGUGAGUGGAACUGCGAGUGUAGAGGUGAAAUUCGUAGAUAUUCGGAGGAACACCAGUGGCGAAGGCGGCUCACUGGUCCAUUACUGACGCUGAGGUGCGAAAGCGUGGGGAGCAAACAGG